AGCGAACGCUGGCGGCAGGCCUAACACAUGCAAGUCGAACGAACUCUUCGGGGUUAGUGGCGCACGGGUGAGUAACGCGUGGGAACCUGCCCUUUGGUUCGGAAUAACUCCCCGAAAGUGGUGCUAAUACCGAAUGAGCUCUUCGGACGAAAGAUUUAUCGCCAUUGGAUGGGCCCGCGUUUGAUUAGCUAGUUGGUAAGGUAAAAGCUUACCAAGGCGACGAUCAAUAGCUGGUCUGAGAGGAUGACCAGCCACACUGGGACUGAGACACGGCCCAGACUCCUACGGGAGGCAGCAGUGGGGAAUAUUGCGCAAUGGGCGAAAGCCUGACGCAGCAAUGCCGCGUGAAUGAUGAAGGUCUUAGGGUUGUAAAAUUCUUUUACCCGGGACGAUAAUGACGGUACCGGGAGAAGAAGCUCCGGCUAACUUCGUG
rnacentral:rRNA from 1 species